UAGGGAAUCUUCCACAAUGGACGCAAGUCUGAUGGAGCAACGCCGCGUGAGUGAAGAAGGUUUUCGGAUCGUAAAGCUCUGUUGUUGGUGAAGAAGGAUAGAGGCAGUAACUGGUCUUUAUUUGACGGUAAUCAACCAGAAAGUCACGGCUAACUACGUGCCAGCAGCCGCGGUAAUACGUAGGUGGCAAGCGUUGUCCGGAUUUAUUGGGCGUAAAGCGAGCGCAGGCGGAAUGAUAAGUCUGAUGUGAAAGCCCACGGCUCAACCGUGGAUCUGCAUCGGAAACUGUCAUUCUUGAGUGCAGAAGAGGAGAGUGGAAUUCCAUGUGUAGCGGUGGAAUGCGUAGAUAUAUGGAAGAACACCAGUGGCGAAGGCGGCUCUCUGGUCUGCAACUGACGCUGAGGCUCGAAAGCAUGGGUAGCGAACAGG
rnacentral:rRNA from 1 species